GCAAACAGGAACAGUCUGUAACGUGCUUGAGACUGGGAGAUGCUCCAGGGUGCCCGUGUUUCACACAUUCUGACCCUGCUUGGAAAGAAGAGCUCUCCCAGCUUCCUGGUGGUGCAUCCCAGAUGAUGUAACGGGAACAAACCUGCACCAGGCUCUCCCAUGUACCCUUUAUGGAUCCUGGGAACUUUUAAAGCCUCCCUUCAUCUGAAAGUUCUGCAGGAGGUGUUGCUGCAAAAAGCAAAGGAAAAGGCACUUUGCACUUAACCACAUCGAGGUCUUGUCCAUUCCUGUACUUCUCCAUGGCCCUCACCACUAAC
rnacentral:lncRNA from 1 species